rnacentral:rRNA from 1 species
AGAAUCAACGCUGGCGGCGUGCCUAACACAUGCAAGUCGCACGAGAAAGCGGGAGCAAUCCUGCAAGUAAAGUGGCGUACGGGUGAAUAACACGUGAAUCAUCUACCUUCGAGUGUGGAAUAACUGAGAGAAAUCUUAGCUAAUACCGCAUAAUACUUACGAGUCAAAGCAGCAAUGCGCUUGAAGAGGAGUUCGCGGCAGAUUAGUUAGUUGGCGGGGUAAUGGCCCACCAAGACGAUGAUCUGUA